CAUGCAAGUCGAGCGAAGCUUUUCAGUAGUUUACUACAGAAAAUGACUGAGCGGCGAACGGGUGAGUAACGCGUGAGCAAUCUACCUUAGUUACUGGGAUAGCCCGAGGAAACUCGGAUUAAUACCGGAUAAUCUUAUUACAUCACAUGAUAUUUUAAGUAAAGGUCAGCCGAACUAAGACGAGCUCGCGUUCUAUCAGCUUGUUGGUGGGGUAAAAGCCUACCAAGGCUACGACGGAUAGCUGGUCUGAGAGGACGAUCAGCCACACUGGGACUGAGACACGGCCCAGACUCCUACGGGAGGCUGCAGCAGGGAAUAUUGCGCAAUGAGCGAAAGCUUGACGCAGCGACACCGCGUGUGGGAUGACGGUUCUAGGAUUGUAAACCACUUUCAGGAGGGAAGAAAAUGACGGUACCUCCACAAGAAGCCCCGGCCAACUACGUGCCAGCAGCCGCGGUAAUACGUAGGGGGCGAGCGUUGUCCGGAUUUAUUGGGCGUAAAGAGCUCGUAGGCGGUUCAACAAGUCGGUCGUGAAAGUUCAGGGCUUAACCCUGAAAUGUCGAUCGAUACUGUUGUGACUAGGAUAUGGUAGAGGUGAGUGGAAUUCCGAGUGUAGCGGUGAAAUGCGUAGAUAUUCGGAGGAACACCAAUAGCGAAGGCAGCUCACUGGACCACUAUCGACG
rnacentral:rRNA from 1 species